rnacentral:rRNA from 1 species
AUGACGUCGGAGCUGCAAUGGAGCACCGCCGCGUGGGGACGUUGGCGUUGCAAUGGGAGCUGUGACGGCGAUGUCGACGCUGCAAUGGAGCACCGCCGCUUCGAGACACCGACGCUACGAUGGGAGCAUCGGCGUGCUGCGAUGGAGCUUCGCCAGGGGCGCAGGUGUUGCGAUGAAGCUCCGUCGAGGUCGUUCAUUGCUGCAAUGGAGCUUCGUUGGGGGCCCACCUGUGCUGCAAUGGGCUUCGCCGGGGCCGCCGAGGUUGCAAUGAAGCUUCAUCGAGCGGUCGGUGUUUCAAUGGAGCGCCGCCGUGCCGCUGUUUUAUCAUUGCAGUGA